rnacentral:lncRNA from 1 species
UCAAACCUGGUAUUUUUGGAGAGAAGGUUUUGACAUUGGGGCUGUCUUUUAAGAGCCCUUCCCCUGAUAGCAGAGGGGAACGUGCUCAACUUACAAAGUUUCUGAAAAAAAUCACACUUCUUCUUUUCACGGGACCCCUGUUUGAAAUUUGCAACAAAUUAAAUGCUUAGGAAUCCAGGUGCCUAGGAGCCCUGCUAUUUCAGCUCUUUCCCCUUAAUCAUGUUGGUUUACAUGAGGAUUGAUUUUGGACUCACUGGGCCAGCUACGUGAAAUGUGGUAUUGUCAUUGUCUCUUUGCACAGAACAAUUCAUUUGCUGCUUGUCGUGAAUCCAUCCUGUGAGGUAUUAUGAUGACAUCUGGCAUGGCUUCUUUGUUUACUGUGUUUACCGUGAGGGAAUUUUACCUUUGGUAGGGUCACGGUGUUAGGUCAUUAUGAUAACUUUCAAGGCUGGAUUUGUACUUGGUCCGGGACUAGAAGGGGAGAAACAGCCUUAUCUGUUAAUCCGUUGCAGUGGCAGAAGAGCUGUAUAUGUAACUAUAUGCUUUUUUCCUCAACUUAUACUGGAAAAAGAAAAAAAAUUGCCCAGAGACUCUUUUUCUAAAUGGUUUUGGUAAAUGUAUUCUUCAAAUACAACUGCGAGUAGGAGGCCAUGUCAGUGGGGGGUGAUCAUUCUUUUGUGUGAUGGUAAUGAGAUAAUUUCUGCAUUACAGAUUUUCAGGAGACUCUUUGUUUAAAUGAAACUUCAGAGCCCUCACAAAGCCUCACAAGUCUCUUUGCCUUAUUAAAAAAAGUUUUUAUUAAUCUCAUGUGUUUUGCCAUCAUCAAUUGCAUAAACAAAUAAAAUUGUUUUGAGCAA